AAACCAACAGGGAUUGCCUCAGUAACGGCGAGUGAAGCGGCAAAAGCUCAAAUUUGAAAUCUGGCACCUUCGGUGUCCGAGUUGUAAUUUGAAGAAGGUAACUUUGGAGUUGGCUCUUGUCUAUGUUCCUUGGAACAGGACGUCACAGAGGGUGAGAAUCCCGUGCGAUGAGAUGCCCAACUCUAUGUAAAGUGCUUUCGAAGAGUCGAGUUGUUUGGGAAUGCAGCUCUAAGUGGGUGGUAAAUUCCAUCUAAAGCUAAAUAUUGGCGAGAGACCGAUAGCGAACAAGUACAGUGAUGGAAAGAUGAAAAGAACUUUGAAAAGAGAGUGAAAAAGUACGUGAAAUUGUUGAAAGGGAAGGGCUUGAGAUCAGACUUGGUAUUUUGCAAGCCUUACCUUCGUGGUGGGGUCCCCUGCAGUUUACUGGGCCAGCAUCGGUUUGGAUGGUAGGAUAAUGACUUGGGAAUGUGACUUUGCUUCGGUAAAGUGUUAUAGCCCUUGUUGAUACUGCCUGUCUAGACCGAGGACUGCGUCUUGACUAGGAUGCAGC
rnacentral:rRNA from 1 species